AGGGAGCGGAGGUUGUUGGGCCGGGGGAGUUGCACUACAAUAAAUCCUUUAAUCCAUGACGAUUUUUUGUGACGUUUACAAAAACCAUCAUAAACAGACAAGAUCUAUGACAAUUUGUGAAUUUUCGUCACAAAUUUGCAAAUAGCCCAUAUGGGCUCUAAUUUGGGCCUGAUAUCUGUGACAAACCUCUAAAAACGUCACAGAACGAAAAUAGAAAUCAUCAUGGAUUAUAUAUCAUGCACAAACCACAAUGGUGAUACACAAAAAUGCAUUAUAGUUAACAUGAGCCCACGCAUUAGCAUAAGAUACCGAGUUCACAUCUGCAUCCAAGUUCACAUACCAAGCUCUGAUUAUCUUUAUGGGCUUAGUCGGCUCCCUAGAAAAAAAAACAAACCUAAUCCUUUUUCCAUUAAAAUCAUAGGUUUGAUUCGCUUCAAAAAUAUCCAAAUAUUUUUUUUAUUUUUCUAAAUUCUUUGGACCGAAUUCUUUUCUCUAUUCUUUUAGCCCACUCAAAUCAUCAUUUUUCUAUCCUCCUUAUUACUUUGCUAAAGGCCUAUUUAUUCCCUUCAUUCUUGUGCCACCGCAGCCCAGGCCCAACUCCGGCCUUUCUUGACUCGGUCCAUACCAGAAAAAAAAUAGGACAAAAAUUAAAAAAAAUGGCGCACAAGGGAAUCGAACUCACUACCACUGUCUAAGACUAAAGCAGUCCAACCACUGCCCUAGGCACUUGUUUGUGUUUAGGGGGCACCAAAAUGCCUUCUAAAUAAAACAUUUCUAUAUCGGAAAAAAUAUGGUGUGCCCAGAUGUCGAUCCCAAGACCUCAGCAAUGGGCUGAGCUCGGGUUACCACUGGUGCAUUGGACUGGUUGUGGUACGUACUGGCAUUAAGUUCUAUCUGUACAAUAUUAGUCCACGUGGAUAGGGAUGAAGAACAUAUGCAUAGUUCGUCUUUUCUUUUUAAUCUACAUUUAAAAUCUGUAAUCGGUAUUUCUACCUCAUUAAAACUCCAAAUUUGAUAUUUCUUUUUUCUGAUUUUUUCUAAAAUCACGUUCUUUCAUUUUAUAGUAUUUAUUUGUAUGUUAAUUACUAUUAUUAUAAUUUUUACAUGUGAUUUGUUUUCUUCCACCCUAGUAGAGAAUAGAAAAAUAUGUUUUUGUAGAAAAAUUUGUAACGUAACUUCAUAUUUUAUAAUAUUAUGGCGAAAAUAAGGUUGUAUCCAAAUUCGAGGUGCAUACGAGUUCAAAAAUAUAAUGAGUUACUCAAAUCUCAAAGUUUCACUUGAGUUUUACAAAACUAUAUGAGAGAUAAUCCUUUUAUGAACAAUGUAUGAUCCAACUUUACUAAAACUAUUUAAAACUUUUAUGUAAAGAUUAUGGACCAAAAAUAUGUUAUCAUGUCAACUUUUAGAAUUUGUUGACCAAAUUUAGAUAUUAUUGCAAUUAUUAUGUGGUAAUUUGGAGAAAAAAGUUUGAAUUGUCCAUAGAAGAUAAUUGAAUUUGUUAUCUAUCUCUAAAGAUAUGGACUAGAAUAGAACAUAUGAGCCUAAAUAUAAUUUUGUACAAUUUUUGUAAUUUUUUUGGUGGUGCACAUAGCUCAACUUGAAAUUACUUUUGAAAAGCACACAGAAAUUCAUUUAAUUGACAAUAUAUACCAAAUCUGUUCAAAAAUUCUUGAAACUCCUGUAUAACAAUUUAUAUGUUUUCUAUUACAUGCAAAAAAAUCUAUUUGGGUAUAUAAGAAUAUAUUACAUGUAACAAAACUCACAAGGCAACCUUAAUUAGUUGAAAAUUGAAAAGAAUAUUAAAAUGUAAUGGGCCACGACAACCUCAAAUCAGUCCAAAUCAUUAAAUCAAAGGCCCAACUCGACAUUGCCUUAAUCUAAACUAUCGGAUCAGAGUGGACAGCUGAGAUGCAUCUGAUAUCAGAUAAAUAUCGGGUCAUUCCCGGCUCUCCGACGCAAACCCUAACCCUUAACCCCUCCCUCAGAUCCGCCGCGCCUUCCCUUACAGUCGUCCCGCCUCCCUUCCUCUUCGUGGCCGGCCCCCGCCACCGGCGGCGCCCCCCUCCACUGCUCCUCGCGUCCCCGCCUCCUACCCCGGCACCACGCGUCCCCAACUCCUACCCCGGCUGGCCCAUGGUGAAGGGGCGCAUGACACCGGCCUCGCGAAGCCCCGAGCCCGGCAUGGAGGCGGCACGCUGGUGCCGCUCGGAGCAGCACCGCGCCGCGGCGAGCUGCUGCUGCGGUCGAUAGAUUCGGGGGCACUGUCGAUGGAUCCGAGCUGCUACCGGGCAAGGCCUCGUCGGGCGGGUCGCCGCUGCACAUGGCCGCAUCACCACCCGCGCCUGCCGCUGCUCCUUCUCCAAUCCAGCGGCAGGAAUGGAUCCAGGGGCUCCAGGCCUGCUACUAGCGGCGGCAGGAGGUCAACGGCGGGCGCCGAGUGGACUCGAGGUAGGCGGUCGCGGCCGCGAAAUCUCGGCGGCGCUCGGCCUUGUCCGCUAGCGCGAGGAGCCCCUCCACGAAAUCACGAUGCUGGUGCGCGUCUUCCCUCAGAUCCAGUCAGAGGAUGGCAGCUUGUGCAGGUUCUUCCAUCCUCAUCCUCUCCUUCCGUUUCUCAUUGCAAAUCCGUGCGGCGCUUGUCCCACGGUGAGUUGAGAAAAUUGAUCCGUGCAUCCAGUCCUAAAGCCUAUAGCCUCGUCCCAUUAUCUGUACUUGUAACUAAUUUUACCACCUGGUGAUGGUUCUUGCCGAGGCCAAGGUAUCUACAAAUGUGAUGGUUCUUGCUGACGCCAGGAGCUGGAGCACCAGGCGCUCAUAUACAAGUACCUCGUCUGUCCUGCCAGACCUCCUCCCUAUCUGUCAUUGCUUCGUCCAGCAGAUCUCACUAUUUUUCGCAGUUGAUUUUGUGUGCUGCAGUCGUGGAGAUUAAACAGAGGCUUGCGAGCAACCAAAGCCCAUGGCCAAACCACUCCUGCAUUGCUGGUAUAGUGUUCGAUGAAAUGUCCCUUGCAUGGGGCUCUCGGUCAGCAACAAGCAGCAAUCUAACAGGCCAUGAGGGGCUCAAGAAAUAUUUUGCUCUAGGUCAGCUUCAAAAUCAACAAAGUUAAGCGAUAUGGUGGUCUGUUAGAUUUGGGGGAACUUCAUCUUUUGCAGGAACCAAACUUUGCCGCUGCAGCUUCAUAUUUUGUUGGUUUGUUAGCUUUUGGUCGAACUUCAACCAAAUUUUGGUGCUGCUGGUUCAGAUUCUUGCUAAAACCUAUUUUUUGUUGUUUCUUGUCAAUUAUGUGGUCUUGGAAUGUUACUGUUAGUUCUCAUAGAUGGAAAAACUCUAUGUAAUGCAAAUCUUAUUCUGUUA